CCUACGGGUGGCAGCAGUGAGGAAUAUUGGUCAAUGGACGAGAGUCUGAACCAGCCAAGUAGCGUGAAGGAUGACUGCCCUAUGGGUUGUAAACUUCUUUUAUAUGGGAAUAAAAUGUUCCACGUGUGGGGUUUUGUAUGUACCAUAUGAAUAAGGAUCGGCUAACUCCGCCAGCAGCCUCGGUAAUACGGAGGAUCCGAGCGUGCUCCGGAUUUAUUGGGUUUAAAGGGAGCGUAGGUGGAUUGUUAAGUCAGUUGUGAAAGUUUGCGGCUCAACCGUAAAAUUGCAGUUGAAACUGGCAGUCUUGAGUACAGUAGAGGUGGGCGGAAUUCGUGGUGUAGCGGUGAAAUGCUUAGAUAUAACGAAGAACUCCGAUUGCGAAGGCAGCUCACUGGACUGCAACUGACACUGAGGCUCGAAAGUGUGGGUAUCAAACAGGAUUAGAUACCCCUGUAGUC
rnacentral:rRNA from 1 species